CAACGAUUGGAUCCAGAUGACAUGGCCUUGGCUCCCCCUUUAUAAUUUCCCAGGUCCUUAGAGAAGCUUGGGGAAUCUUUAGGCAACUUCCUGUAGUUGGGUUGGUCCAAUGAUAUGAAUGUCUUACCCACUGAUGGCUAGUGGAAUAAGCCACUCUCUUACAAUGACUAGUGGAAAGUCCCAGGAAGCUUUCAGCUUCGGGUAACAUCAGUUGGGUAAUCAUUGCCAGCUUGGAGAAUGAGUGGUGGCCUUAACUACUUUGGCACCAGCCCUCAUGAGAAAAUACUAUGAGAAAAUACUGUGGAAGGUAUCUUUAUCAAUUGGAUAAGAAAUCUUCCACCCUUUCAGAAGCUGACUUCCAUCUUAUACUCACAAUUGAAUUCUUCUGCAACAAUUUUUGGUACCUCAGCAGAUUACAUGUGCUGUCAUGUAUGAACUGCCCUCUGAAGCAUGAGAACCAGGGAACAACUGUAAUCCAGACCAUGGGAAAUCCUUGUUUCAAAUGCACUGCAGAGAUCAGACGACCGGGAGAUUAAGUUUUGACUGGAGCUCCAGCCUUAAAUAAGGUGGUGGAAAUUUGACCCCAGAGAUAUCCCUGCCUCUGAAUUGAAGGGGAGGAGGUAAGACUUUCUUAAGCAUUAACCAACUCUGUUCUGGGUUUGGGUGAUGGGCUUUCUGAUUGGCAAAGCACCGCUGAUAUGUUCCCUAAAAUGCCCUCGUUAAAAGCAAAUUGUGUUACCUAAUGCAGUCUGCCUCUCUUUUGAAACUGACCCUUCAUGGGUAUCUCCAUCAGGAAAGGCUUUUUGAGCACUCGCUGUUAGAAAAAAAAAAGUCAUGAAAAAGGAGAGCCUUUAAAAAUCAAGAGAAAUAAUGGGUACCAUUCAUCCCAGAGGGUGACCCUACAUCUCCAUUGCUGUUCUCAGCUGGGCUUGCUGACUUUCAUCCAGCAAGACUUGGCACAGGUUAAAGCAUAAGGAUUAUCUGAUGAUAAAUACAGGGUCCAUGAAUGAGGACUUCACUAGAGGGACCCAACGGGUGCUUUCUCUUGUUCACAGACCUUAGACUUCCUGUACACUUAACUAUGGAGCAAAUGGAACCAGGUGGUAACACAUUAUUUCCAAAGAGCCUCAGCCAGUUACAACAUAACAAUCAUUUCAUUAUUCAAUAGAAUGUUGAAAAGUGAGUUCAAAAGAGGCUUUGAGACAGGUUUUCCUCGACUUCACUGAUUUCUUAAAUACUUUCUCCCGAGGAAGAGGGAGUCCUCAGUCUCCAGUAGUAAUGGUGGUUAUAAC
rnacentral:lncRNA from 1 species